UCAUGCAUCUGCUGUUUUUGCUCAUGUCUGAGACACAGAUCUCAAGAGGAAAAUCUGGAAAAGGACAAAAUGGAAGAAUGAACUGUAGUAAGAUUUGGGGCCUUAUGCUAAUUCUUGCCCAGUCUUGAGUUAAAGAUUUGUGUUACCUUAACAUGUACAGUAACUCCUCACUUAAAGUCUUCCCGGUUAACGUUGCUACGUUGCUGAUCAUUUAGGGAACAUGCUCAUAUAAAGUUGUGCAAUGCUCCCUUCUAAUGUCGUUUGGCAGCUGCCUGCUUUGUCUACUGAAGAGUAUCUCAGUGAAAGUUUUAAUCCUCUGCCAAAGGUUUGGGAUGGAAGCCUUAUUUCUUCUUCCGUAGUAGGAUGCUUUCCCAUACCAGACCGUGAUAACUUUGGCAGGCAUCAUUGCAGUACCCAGGCUAGCAACACGCGGGCAGCUUCAGAACGCCAGCAGCAGCUGUGCUCUCUAUACCGGGGUCGGCAACCUACGGCACGCAUGCAAAAGAGUGGAUUUCUUCAAUAUGAUAUAUUAUUUGCUUCCUUAUCACACACCAGAUCAUUGGGUUCUUGCGAUAGCAUUGAUGCAAACAAAAGAAUUAUUAACAAUUGACCCCUUGUGUGAUGAGAUGAGAUAUGAAAGAACAUGUCUAAGGAAUUGGAGUUUCAGAUACUUCAUCAAACGAUUAACGAGCAACUCCCCAUCUGAUUGGAAGAAUAAAAUUCUUCAGCAUAAUAAACAAAAAGUGAUGGCCACAACUGCGGACCACUCAUCUUAAAGUUUGCAGAAACGUAUUUGUGGCAGAAAGACAUCAAUUCAAUAGAAACAUCACAAGAGGCUAAUGCUGAGUUUAGAAGACAAGUAGCAAUUGUUCUAGUGAAAGAGUCAGAAAGCGUGGAGGACUACUGCAUAUACUGCAACCUUGUCAGUUGUGAAAAGGAAAGUGAGGAUUGCACGAUGGUCCAGUGUGAUUCUUGCAAGAGGUGGGUACAUAUGCCCUGCAUUCCAGAAGGAACAAAUCAUGAAAUCCUCACUGAUGAGGAAAAAGAAUACGAGUGCAAAAAAAAGAACUGAACUAUGUACUAUCAGAAAAAUGACAUCUGUAAAUAGUUGUUGUUAAAAAUGGCUUUGAACAAAAAGCUAACCUUUUAUUUAUAUACCGGAUUACAAUAAAGUUUUUAAAAUUGGAAAAACA